AAGGGGAGCACUGGAUCCUGGGCUGUGUCCCCCGUUGCUGGGGGCUCUGGGGCCUGCAAUGCUGGAAUUGCGCUCCCAGGGCCGGCGCAAACCCUU
rnacentral:pre_miRNA from 1 species